rnacentral:tRNA from 2 species
GCUGUGAUGGCCGAGUGGUUAAGGCGUUGGACUUGAAAUCCAAUAGGGUCUCCCUGCGCAGGUUCAAACCCUGCUCACAGCG